GAAGGCUUAGUUCGGAUCUUAAAAGAAUGAGAUUUUUGAUGAAAACUUCAUUCUCCAUUCUAUGAGAACUUUUAUGAAAGCUUUUCAUUUGCUUCUCUUCGAUGGAAGUUUUAUUUUCGGAGAAUGUAUCCUAAUUUCUGGCCUAAUUAAGAUUUAUAAUACUAAUAAAUCACAUAAUAUCCCCAGCUAUUUUUAUCUCUUUUUUGAAAUUCAGAAACAAUAAGCGUAUUUUGUUAUUUCGUACUAUACAAUUCUUUUCUUUGUGGGAUCUUUUUCCCACGAGAGGUAAUGAGAAGAAUUCUAGAAUGGAUUGCUACCUAUGUCUAGAUCACGGAUAAAUGGAAAUUUUAUUUAUAAGACCUUUUCAAUUGUAGCCAAUAUCUUAUUACGAAAAAUUCCUAUAGGUUUCUUGAAGUAUUUGAAGGGACAAGAUCAAAUUGAACAUGUAGUACUGAGAAGUGGAGGCAAAAAUUGGCUGGUGAAGGUAAAAUGCUGGCGAUUCGGAGCAGGUUGGGCUGCAUUUGUAGAACAACAUGAUUUGCAAUUGGGAGAUAUAUUGGUGUUUAGACAUGAAGGAAAUAUGGAAUUUGAAGUUUCCAUAUUUGAUUCAACUCAUUGUGAUAGAGAAUAUGCAGAGUAUCUGCAGGAAGAAGAUGCAUGCAAUAAUGUUGAAGAGACUUCAAAUAAACUUAAAUUCAAUGGAAGACCAAGGCCCAGGGUCAAGUUGUCAAAAAAGGCGUCUUCCGAUGUAAAAGCUGUUGUUCAUCACAAGUCUUUUGGUCAUUCUCAUUUUGAUCACAUUAUUAGAGAAUAUAAUAUCAAUUCUCGAUGUUUCUUGUUCCUUCCUCAAUGUUUUGCAUAUGCAAAUGGUCUCACCAAUAAGAAGUGCGGUUUGAUUAUAAAAGAUGAAAGACAAAGGUCGUGGAAUUUAAAGCUAAGUUCUUAUGAAGCUCGAACAUAUAUUAGAGCUGGAUGGCCCAAAUUCGUUGUUGAUAAUUGCUUAAAGAAGGGAGAUCGCAUAAGGUUUGAGGUUGUUACUAAUGAAGAAACACCAAUAUGGAAAUUUCAAGUUAGUAAUCAAGAAACUCCAUUGCAGAAGUUUCAAGACAUUAUGAAGAAACCCUCAAACAUAAGUCUUCUUGAUGUUGGUCAUUCUUGUUUUGUUUCAACCCUUAAGCCUUAUUGCUUCACAAAGGCAUUUUUGUUUCUUCCAAUGCGUUUUGCAAAGUCAAACGGGUUGAUGAAUAGAAACUGUGAGAUGAUUCUGAAAGGUGAAGUACAGAGAUGUUGGUCAGUUUGGCUUGGGAGAACUGGAAAUCAUUUUGGAAUUAUACAUGGAUGGACAAAAUUCAGAGCAGAAAAUGGACUCCAAGUAGGAGAUGUAUACAAGUUUGAACUCAUCAAGAAUGGGGAAAUACCUAUAGCACACUUCCAUUGCAAAUAUUCUGUAAAGGUUGCAAAGACAGAGGAACAUCGGAGCAAAUAAACUAUGAAAAAGAAAAUUGGCUAUGUACGAUUUUUCUACUGAAUCUCCAUGUAAGAUGUUCCUCUCUCUCCAUAUCAGUGCAACUAUCAUAGCAAAAACGACUUGAGAUUUCAGCUAAACCAAUUUUGCUCUUUGCAAGUGUAUUUAGCCAUUGCAACUCACAGUUCCAAUCUUGUAUUGCUCUUCGAAAUCCCAGCCAACCUUUGCCAUAGAGUAUAGUCAUCGCACAUUUGAAGAACAAGUGCUCAAAAGAUUCCAGUGCCUGUCCACAAAAAAUGCAGUUUUUAGGAACCUGAACACCAAACUUGAGUAGUCUAGGCGCAGUUGCUAGCCUGUUUUGUACAGUUUGCCACAGUAUAAACUUGAAUCGAGUGUGGAUCUUAUUGUGUAAUGCAAGGUUCUUCCAAGCAACCCUUAGAUACUGAGGCAUCAGCAAAUUGUACAUCUCAUGAAUAGAGAAGGAAUCUCCUUGCAUUCUUUUUAAAUGCUUUUUAGUCACAUCUAUAGGUGUCAACUGGGCUGGGCUGAUUGGUUCCUGCCCGGAUCAGUAAAACCGGCAUGCAACAGCCUGGUAAAAUGCUAAGAGGAUGCGCCAUUUACCUAUUGAUCUUACAUACAUCACCAAUUUUGACUGGUGUGUUAUUUUCUAAUCAUUUUAAAGUAUUUCUUUUGGGACUGUCUUUGGGAUUUGGAUUGACAAUCAAGAUCACUUGUAAAUAUUUAUGCUGAUAUAUAGCUGCGUUGUCUGAGUCUAGGAUUUGGAUUGACAAUUAAGAUCACUUGUAAAUAUUUAUGCUGAUAUAUAGCUGCGUUGUCUGAGCCA